rnacentral:rRNA from 1 species
AACGAUUGCGGCGGCUACCAUGCAGUCGAGCGGUAACAGAUCCAGCUUGCUGGAUGCUGACGAGCGGCGGACGGGUGAGUAAUGCAUAGGAAUCUGCCCGAUAGUGGGGGAUAACCUGGGGAAACCCAGGCUAAUACCGCAUACGUCCUACGGGAGAAAGGGGGCUCCGGCUCCCGCUAUGGGAUGAGCCUAUGUCGGAUUAGCUAGUUGGUGAGGUAACGGCUCACCAAGGCCACGAUCCGUAGCUGGUCUGAGAGGAUGAUCAGCCACAUCGGGACUGAGACACGGCCCGAACUCCUACGGGAGGCAGCAGUGGGGAAUAUUGGACAAUGGGGGAAACCCUGAUCCAGCCAUGCCGCGUGUGUGAAGAAGGCCCUCGGGUUGUAAAGCACUUUCAGCGAGGAAGAACGCCUAGCGGUUAAUACCCGCUAGGAAAGACAUCACUCGCAGAAGAAGCACCGGCUAACUCCGUGCCAGCAGCCGCGGUAAUACGGAGGGUGCAAGCGUUAAUCGGAAUUACUGGGCGUAAAGCGCGCGUAGGUGGCUUGAUAAGCCGGUUGUGAAAGCCCCGGGCUCAACCUGGGAACGGCAUCCGGAACUGUCAAGCUAGAGUGCAGGAGAGGAAGGUAGAAUUCCCGGUGUAGCGGUGAAAUGCGUAGAGAUCGGGAGGAAUACCAGUGGCGAAGGCGGCCUUCUGGACUGACACUGACACUGAGGUGCGAAAGCGUGGGUAGCAAACAGGAUUAGAUACCCCUGGUAGUC